GCCCUUCUUGCCCUGGCGCCGCCUCCAGCCCAGCCCGUUUCUUGCAGAUUUUAGCUUCUCCCUUGCCUGCCGCCUUUCCCGUUUCGGCUCGGUGAAGCUACCUAUGGGUUGCUGUUCAUUUAACAAACGGUGAUCCGGAUAAACAUGUUCACUUCUUCGCCUGGGCAAACUUUCCAGCCCCCGACCCACUCAUGUCACGAUACCUUCCCGUGUCCAAGUCCGGCUCUCUGCUCCCCACUUUUUUUUUUUUUUUUUUUUGAGACAGAGUGUUUCUCUGUCUCCCAGGCUGGAGUGCAGUGGCGCGAUCUCAACUCACAGUACCCCCUGCCUCCCGGGUUCAAACGAUUUUCUUGCCUCAGCCUCCUGAGUAGCUGGGAUUACAGGCGCGCGCCACCACAGCCGGCUAAUUUUUAUGUUUUAGUAGAGACAGGGUUUCACCAUGUUGGCCAGGAUGGUCUCCAUCUCUUGACCUCGUGAUCCGCCCGCCUCGGCCUCUCAAGGUGCUGGGAUUACAGGUGUGAGCCGCCGCGCCCGGCCUCUUUGCUCUUUUAUACUCUCAGAAGCAAUGAGUUCUGGUUAAAAAAAAGGGCUCGAUAGACGGAAAAAAUGAAGGCUUAAAGAACUGACAACAAAAUAUUAACAUUUGGCUUGUGGAAUUCUUACACUCUCGUAAGCAGAAAAAACAAAUGUUAUGGCAAAAAAGUGUCUCAGACAAAUCCGUCUUGGGGGGAAAAAAAUUAAAAGAAUGAGAAAAACAGACUUCGGAAUAAAUAGACCCAAAGGAGGAAGUAUUGAAAAUGGCAAGAUUCACUUUUACAAACUUAUUUGGAACCACGGCAGAUGGCCAGGGCAGGGAUUUUGCAAGGCAGCUCCAGUUGUAAGUAAAACCUGAAACAAUGGUUUAUUUCCACUCUCAUUGAAAGUGCUGUCUUAUUUUUACAGGAAAGAGUGAUGAUGGGAAUAUUAGGCUUUAAUUCGAGAUCUGAGCUGGUUAAAAAUAAAAACGUUUAUUAUUCCAGAAAAAUCUACGUCAGUGUUUUUAAAUGUUCUGAUUUGAAAAAAUAUUUGUAUAUUUUAUCUGAAUAUUAGUUAUUAUCAAAUGAUGUAAAAGAAAUUUGUAAAGGCUGUACCAUAAUUGUAACAAUAAGGUUUUUCUGUAGAGCAGAGGUAUAGAAAAAUUAACAUUUUUUAAAGUCCUGCAUAUUUUUAAAACAGUGAUAUUUAUGUUUUUCCUUGCAAAACAAUUUUAAGAAACCUUUAAAUUGUUAAUAGUUUACAUGCUUAUAAAAUGUUUUAUAUAUAUCAUUUCUAAAAAUCGUAAUUUUUUUAAGUGAGUUUCUAGGUAUACCUUAUGGGAGUGUUUCACAGGUACAUGUCAUCUGUUAUUUUUUGGAGUGGAAAUGGGUAAGAAGCAUACACCAAAUGUAUCAAAUGUUUUUACUAUAGAUACUUUUGCCUCUGAAAGAUGGCAUUGUAGAAUAUAGUCUUCUCAUCGUAUUGUUCAGUAUACUUUCUCUUGAAAUCUCAGGUAUUCAAAAAAAAAAGUCGUUGUUUUGCUAGAUGCAGGAAAAAAGUAAACGCAGUGAACAAAAGAUGGCCAACAGUAAAGGUACCCAAGCAAGGAUCACAGUCUCAAGGAAUGUCAAGUAGAAAUUUGUGGGAAAAUACCACUCACGUUCAGUCAACUUUCUGUAACAAACUGGAAUUUGACCUAGACAGGAAGUGAGAAGCUAGGGCCAAAAGUGUUGUUAUUAAAGAGAGGAUCUGCUUUUUUAAAGAAAAUAAAACCCUGGACCUUGGAGGUUUAGCACUGGAAGCACUGAGGCCCUCCACUAUGGCCCUUGGGCUUUCAGUUCCCCCUUGUGAUUCUUUCUCUUUGAUAUCUGCUGCCCAUAGCAAUCUGGCUUCCAGAGCCCUCUAUGUCAAUACACACAUCUCUUCCCUUGGUCCUGCUUAGCAAGCUAAGAAAAGCUGAAUUAAGACAAAACAGAGUACUUAAUGUAUGGGGAAAAUAAAAGUGAAAGAAAUAUAAUUCCUAAUAUUUCCUGAGUAUUGAUUCUGUGCCAAGCAUUGCAUUAUUUCCUUGAAUUCUUGCAACUAGAUAAGAACUGUUACUAUCCCCAUUUUAAACACAAGGUAAGUAGGUUAAGUGCCCAUGUCACACAGCUGCUGAGUAACACAGUCAAGAUUCCAGACUUCAUACUUCAGAACCCACAGCCAUAACCACUAAUCUGUCUCAAGUUUCAUACAACCAGGCACAAAUUAUGCAAGAAACAGAGGGACUUAGGAAGUCCAAAAUAUGGACUUAGCUCUAAAAUACUGACCACAGUGUAUGGGUAUCUUCUUCACUGUUUUCCAUCCCAUCUUUGCAUGACUGCUUUUAUUUGAUUUUUUAAGGUGGUCAUCAUGACCCAGUAAGUUGAUUUUGUGAUCGGUUAAAGGGUAGCUACUCAGAAAAACACUAAUCAGAAUCCAAAAUACAAAAUAUCAGAUUGUAUCACAUGUAAUAAGGGUAUUUUUUUCCCAACACAAAUUAGGGGAAACUUUCAGCCACAUGUGUGUAUUCUGGGUUGCAACGUUAAAUGUAUUUCAUACUAUGGAUUUCAAUCAAAAAAAAUUUGAAAAACACUAUUAUAACCACGCCUUGCCUAACUAACAUGCAUCAUUUAUCCUUCAGGAUCAAGACCAAGGGAAACAAAAUCCCAUUCUGCAAUCCCCUUACAUUCCUCUCUUAAGUCCCAGGAUCUGGUUUGAUGAUCUCUUCCCAGGAGCAGUUGAUUUCUCACCGCCCACCCCCGACCCCACCACUAUUGAUCAUGAGGUGCUUUGAGGGGUCCGGGUUUGGAGGACUGAAACACCGUGGGAUCUUGGAACAGCUCUUCCUUGUUGGUGAUCCCUUAUUAAGAAGCCCUCCAGCCUGACAAUGCUGAAGCCCUGGAGGUUGGAGCCACUCAGAAGAGGAAACCAGAGCACAGAAAGGUUAAGUGAAAUGCCCGAAGUCACACAACUGAUAAAUGGUCAAAUUGGGAUCCAAGCCCAGGCAGCUCUGAGUCAUUGACAUUACUCUGUCCUAGAAGGCACUCGACAGAAAGGGGGUUUGUGCUUCCUCCAUCCCACCCAGCUUCUGAAUGGUCCAGGCCCCUGACUGCAUUGCCACGAAAAGGCCUCAGAAAAAUGUCUGUGCAUGCAUCAAGACUGCAAGCCAGAUCCAAAAUGUAUCAGGUCUCCUUUAUGGGGAAUAGUGAGAAGCAAAUGGAAAUAGAUUGUCUUCCUGCUUGGGACUGUUAACACAGCAGCCAAACUGAACUGAAAAUAUUUUAUUUUAUUUUAUGAGAAUUUUAAUGAGAAUAUUUUAUUCUCAUUAUACUUUGCUAGAAGUUGCCUUCUAGAGGGAUUUCUUUGGGCUUUUAUUUUGAAUUCUAAUAAAGAAUACCUUGACUACAAAUUUGGCCUUGAGAUGUCAUUUAAUGAGGAGUCAAGAUUUUAGUUUCUGGUAGAAAACUGGACACUAAGCUUUCUCCUACGAAAUUGACAUUCUUUGUGCCAACCUUUUAACACUCUCCAAGGGUACCUUCUAGUGGCUUAAUAAAAUCAUCGCUAUGAUGAUGUACUACAUACUUAUGGAAAGCAAGGUUAUUUUAUUAAGAGACAUUAUGCUUUGUAUAGGGAGUUAGAUGGUGCAAGUAAUUUAAGAUAACAAAGGUCCUCAUUUUGUCCCAGAAUUGGCUUUUCUUGCUGAUUCAGCUUUGGAACCUGUGCCUGUUGAACAAAGAAGGAAGGCAGAGAGCAUUUUAACGUCACCUGGUGUCUAGGUGC
rnacentral:lncRNA from 1 species